rnacentral:rRNA from 1 species
CCAGACUCCUACGGGAGGCAGCAGUGGGGAAUAUUGGGCAAUGGGCGCAAGCCUGACCCAGCAACGCCGCGUGAAGGAAGAAGGCCCUCGGGUUGUAAACUUCUUUUCUAUAGGACGAAGAAGUGACGGUACUAUAGGAAUAAGCCACGGCUAACUCCGUGCCAGCAGCCGCGGUAAUACGGAGGAUGCGAGCGUUAUCCGGAUUUAUUGGGUUUAAAGGGUGCGUAGGCGGUCCGUUAAGUCAGCGGUAAAAUGGCGGGGCUCACCCCCGUCGAGCCGUUGAAACUGGCAGACUUGAGUUGGCGAGAAGUACGCGGAAUGCGCGGUGUAGCGGUGAAAUGCAUAGAUAUCACGCAGAACCCCGAUUGCGAAGGCAGCAUGCCGGCUUCCGACUGACGCUGAAGCACGAAAGCGUGGGGAUCGAACAGGAUUAGAUACCCUUGUA